ACAAACAGUCUAUUUGACCAUCUAUCUGAGCGCAGUAGUGAAAGUUUGCAGCUUUUCUUUGUCUCAUAAGAAAGUGAAAUUAUUUCAGACCAUUAAUCGGCUAAUGGGGCCAUAAAUGGGAAGAAGCUCAUUCAUAAUAGAAAUCAAUACAGAUGACGGCAGGCUCGUGAUGAAUGCUCUACAACAAAACCUUGCAGAAAUGGGAAAGCUUGGAGAAAGAGCGCCUGUUUGGGAUUUCUCUGCAGGUUUUCACUGAGCUCCAUUGUUCCUCCUAUCCUGGCUUUAAAAAGGCUGCAGCUCAGGCCAUGAAUGGAGAUGAUUUCACUCUUGGGAAGAACGCCAUCAUCUUUUAGCAGGAAUGACAGAGACACUGGCUGUUGCAGUGUCAUUCCCCCUGGCUGCGCUGUGGAUUACUCACCUGAAUCUCCUACCUGCUUCUGUCUAGCUGGUCUGCUCGCCCUCUGACAUCCUCUGCUCCUACGGAAAGCCAAACCAGUGGCCUCUAUCUCAGGAAAUCUCUUUCAGCCUUCUUAAAUUUCCUCUCCUCUGGUCAGACCUGUACCCAGAGACAUCUCAGAAUCCUCUCACAUUAUCACAAAUCUCCUUUGCAC